rnacentral:lncRNA from 1 species
UGGCUGCAGACAUUCUGUUUGUCAAGCCGCCUUGAAUAUGUUUAGAGGAGAAGUUUAUGGUUAUGCUCACUAUCUACAUUUAAAUUUUGUUCAUCCAAACAAUGUUAGGUUCUUGUGGGAGGAUGUGAUAUGUAAGUACUGGCCAUGGGCUAAGCGAGUCACUUCAGAGCAGAACAAGAGGGCAUUAACUGAUACAAAACCAGCCUUGUCACUCAUGCAUGGAAAAUCGCACAGUUGGAACUGUCAGGUUAUUUGGAGUGGAAGAUGGCAAGAAGGUGCUGCUGCAACUCCUGGGGAGGAAGUUGAACAAAUCAACAGCUAUCUCUCCAGACUUGGAUCCACCACCAAGAAUAUGAUAGCAUCAGGUCGCGAGGAUUGCAUCACUGAGCAUCUAUUGAGUUGGAAUAAGCGAAAAAUCUCUAAUCUACCUAAGCUGUUGGUUCUUCGCCUGAAAAAGACGGAAAAGAAACUGGACGAGGCGAAAACGGAACUUGCUACACGUAUGUGCGUGAGAUUAAUUUAUCAGACGCUGAUUUGGAUCCCUCAGUUGUGUCAUGGAAAAGAGAUGUUCAGCAGUUUGCUACUGAACAAAAAGCAGGAAAAAAUGUUGACGUUGGGGAUUUAGGAGAAUUCUACCUUUUACAUCAUGUGGUACAAAAUGCUCAACAACUAAAUACGUUUAUAAAACAAAGCAGUUGAAUAAGAACAUGGAAAGAUUGCGUGUUUUGUCGUCCGAGCUUUUGAAUUCCACCGUAACAGAGGAGGAGCUUCUUGCUCGGGGGAAGGUUGAACUUGCGAAAGUAACAUUGUCCAGGUUGCAGAGAAAAUUGGAGAUGCUGUACUUUUCCAUUACGAGGCGGAUGAAGGAGAUUUCGUCGCUUGCUGAUUCUAGUAAAAGGAGAUCAUCUAUGCGAGCAAAAUGCUGAAGGGAAAAAACAGAAAUAGCGUCCACAGUAGAAGAGUUGAAUUCAGUUAACAGCCUUCUGAAACUGCCUGCGACAAGUGCUGAGGCUAUUCUUGCGGGAGAUUUUCUUUGGUCGUUUAGUGAGGAACCAACAACUACGAAAAGUCUUCCUGUACGAUACAAGGCACAGGUAGUAGAAAAGUUCAUGCUGGUUCAAAGGCUAAAAGAAGAAGAAGACCAAAUAAGAAAAGAAAUGAAGAACUUCCUCGUGUUCUAUUUAAAGAAUAUUUUGGACAACCUUCAUCAAAGAAAAGCAGACAUUAAUGAGCGAAUAGGUAUAAGUAUCAGAUAUUUUCCGAACUUUUGCAAUAGCUGUUAUUGUAUAAAGUCUUGACAAUAAACUU